CCUACGGGGGGCAGCAGUGGGGAAUAUUGCACAAUGGGGGAAACCCUGAUGCAGCGACGCCGCGUGAGUGAAGAAGUAUUUCGGUAUGUAAAGCUCUAUCAGCAGGGAAGAAAAUGACGGUACCUGAUUAAGAAGCCCCGGCUAACUACGUGCCAGCAGCCGCGGUAAUACGUAGGGGGCAAGCGUUAUCCGGAUUUACUGGGUGGAAAGGGAGCGUAGACGGCAGCACAAGUCUGGAGUGAAAUGCCGGGGCUUAACCCCGGAACUGCUUUGGAAACUGUGCAGCUAGCGGGCAGGAGAGGUAAGUGGAAGUCCUAGUGGAGCGGUGAAAUGCGUAGAUAGUAGGAGGAACACCAGUGGCGAAGGCGGCUUACUGGACUGUAACUGACGUUGAGGCUCGAAAGCGUGGGGAGCAAACAGGAUUAGAUACCCCAGUAGUC
rnacentral:rRNA from 1 species